CCGUUGUGCCAGCAGCUGCGGUUAUACUUUUAAAUAAAAUUUUAUUGAAUUGUUGUCUUAAAUAAAUUUUUCAUCUGUUUAAAGGUCAAACAAAGUUUAUUGCAAAUCUUUUUGAAUUAAUUCACAAAACCGGAAUAGAACCCGGGUAUGCUUUUUUACUAGGUAUUAUUUAUAAACCUAAAUUACAUGGCAGUGAUUUAUCCUAAUUAGAGAAUUUUGGUUCUUAAACUGACAACCCUCAAUUUUAUUCACCGAUGUAAAUAGUUUAUGUGUGGUUGUAAAAAAAUAAAUUUUAAUUUAAAUUUUAACCAAAUGACAUGUAGCUUUACUCGGGGAAACUGAAAUGCUAUUAAAAUUUUUAAUCUAAUUUCAGGAUUUAAUAGUAGGUCUUAACCUAUCGAAAAAGUUAUAAAUCAGGUUCAUAUUGUCCGUCACUCUCUCCUAGAGAUAAGUCGUAACAAUAGUAG
rnacentral:rRNA from 1 species